CGAAACUGCCGGCGUUGCGCGUUUCUUUGUCAACUUUUACUGAUGUUUCUGCAUGUUACAGUGCGUUAUUCUUGUCCUCUCUGCGAAGUAGUCUCAAGAAUGCGAUUUGGCAGGUUUUAUAUGUUUAGAAAUAUUUGUUAGUCGUGAUGCUGCGCAAGACCAAUGGAAAAAAUCCUUCGCAAAAGGCGUGAGAGGGGCGGUUCGUUUGUUGUCACUCGAUUUCUAAACGGUUCAAAUGACACGAUGCAGUGCGCCACAAAUCUUUUUCACGUUGGUGGACAUUCAUUGUCGUCACGUUUGUUAAUUCCCGUUUGUCUGACGCAGAUUUUAUUUUUAUUUUUUUAGCUAACGUAACGUUUUCGCUCUUCGAUGCGACAGAAGAAAACUGCUUCGCGUAACUAACAGGUUGGUCGCUAAUAUUUGAGCUUACUUGAUCUACAGCUAGGGCUCAGGUAGCGUAGUGUGAUGUAACUUUAUGGUAACGCCGGAAUAAACACCGAUGUAAGAAGAACUGAGAAUGUACGUGAGCAGCAGCUUUGACUGCGCUGUUUUUGAUGUGAAACACGGGCGGCCGUGUCACAUUCCUUUGCCAAAACUACGCGAAAUAAACAAUAUGGGACAUGUUAUGAGACUUGCAACUAAAUGCUUCAAAAGUUCACGGCAUACCUAUCAUGAGAUGAAGAUUUGCGCUGUUUCCUACUAUACAGCUGCUAGAGGUCAAACAUAAUUCCUUCGAGGCUCUUUUGUCUUUCAGCUGAAGAGUCUGUAACUAGCCACG
rnacentral:lncRNA from 1 species